UUUCUUCAUGUAUAAAGUCAUCCCCUUCACCUUUAAAGUCAACACCUGUUAUUGAAAAAGAUUCAGUUUUGUUCAUCUCUACUGCUAAUUCUGGGGGUAUUGAACUCUGUCCAUGAGGUCUCGAAUGUGUAACUCUUGAUACUUGGGAUGAUUGCCAGCAAAAAAAGCGGGGCAAAGAAUAUUCUGGCUGCCAUCAUAUUAUUAUGGUUGUUUUUCCUUAUUGUCUCGUUGUAGUUUGAAAGCCAUCAUAAACGUAAGACAUAGAUCAUGCAAGAAAAUGUUAUUGUGGUCAGUAGCUGUAUUUUGAACCCAAUUGUUAUAAGAUUCAGCGGUAAACAUAGCAUUACCCUGAAAUCCACAAAUG
rnacentral:lncRNA from 1 species